rnacentral:rRNA from 1 species
UCGAGCGGAUCGAUGGGAGCUUGCUCCCUGAGAUCAGCGGCGGACGGGUGAGUAACACGUGGGUAACCUGCCUGUAAGACUGGGAUAACUCCGGGAAACCGGGGCUAAUACCGGAUAACACCUACCCCCGCAUGGGGGAAGGUUGAAAGGUGGCUUCGGCUAUCACUUACAGAUGGACCCGCGGCGCAUUAGCUAGUUGGUGAGGUAAUGGCUCACCAAGGCGACGAUGCGUAGCCGACCUGAGAGGGUGAUCGGCCACACUGGGACUGAGACACGGCCCAGACUCCUACGGGAGGCAGCAGUAGGGAAUCUUCCGCAAUGGACGAAAGUCUGACGGAGCAACGCCGCGUGAGUGAAGAAGGUUUUCGGAUCGUAAAACUCUGUUGUUAGGGAAGAACAAGUGCCGUUCGAAUAGGGCGGCGCCUUGACGGUACCUAACCAGAAAGCCACGGCUAACUACGUGCCAGCAGCCGCGGUAAUACGUAGGUGGCAAGCGUUGUCCGGAAUUAUUGGGCGUAAAGCGCGCGCAGGUGGUUUCUUAA